UAAUACGUAGGAGGCGAACGUUAUUCGGAUUUACUGGGCGUAAAGGGAGCGUAGGCGGUUCCUUAAGUCAGAUGUGAAAUCUUCUGAUUCAAUCAGAAGGCGUCAUUUGAUACUGAGGGACUUGAGAGCAGCAGAGGGAAAUGGAAUCCCCGGUGUAGCGGUGAAAUGCGUAGAUAUUGGGGAGAACACCAGUGGCGAAGGCGAUUUCCCAGGUUGUUUCUGACGCUGAGGCUCGAAAGCGUGGGGAGCGAAGCGGAUUAGAUACCCGCGUAGUCCACGCCGUAAACGGUGGACACUAGAUAUAGGAGGUAUCGACCCCUUCUGUGUCGAAGCUAACGCCUUAAGUGUCCCGCCUGGGUAGUACGGCCGCAAGGCUG
rnacentral:rRNA from 1 species